GGUUUUAUGGUGUUGAAUAUAAAGUCUGACCUGCUCAAUGUUAUAUAAAUGGCCGCAGUAUUUUGACUGUGCUAAGGUAGCAUAAUAAUUAGGCUAUUAAUUGUGGUCUUGUAUGAAAGGUUCGACGUGAAGUAGACUUUCUUUUUUUUAAUGAUGAAUUUAAAUUGUUAGUGAAAAUGCUAACAUAAUAUAAUUAGACGAGAAGACCCUAUUAAGUUUUUUAUUUUAUAUUGUAUAUAUUUUGUUGGGGUAAAUUGAUUAAUAUUGUAUAUAUUGAUCCGUUAAUAGCGAUUACUAGAACUAAUUACUAUAGGGAUAACAGCGUAAUAUUAUUGGAGAGUUCAUAUUGAUAAUAUAGUUUGCGACCUCGAUGUUGGAUUAGGAUAACCUGUGGGCGCAGGCGCUUAUUAAGGUAGACUGUUCGUCUAUUAAAUUCCUACA
rnacentral:rRNA from 1 species